rnacentral:rRNA from 1 species
AUUGACCGCUGGCGGCAGGCCUAACACAUGCAAGUCGAACGAGUGGCGGACGGGUGAGUAAUGUCUGGGAAACUGCCUGAUGGAGGGGGAUAACUACUGGAAACGGUAGCUAAUACCGCAUACCAUCGGAUGUGCCAAGAUGGGAUUAGCUAGUAGGUGGGGUAACGGCUCACCUAGGCGACGAUCCCUAGCUGGUCUGAGAGGAUGACCAGCCACACGGGAACUGAGACACGGUCCAGAUUCCUACGGGAGGCAGCAGGGGGGAAUAUUGAACAAUGGGCGCAAGCCUGAUGCAGCCAUGCCGCGUGUAUGAAGAAGGCCGUCGGGUUGUAAAGUACUUUCAGCGGGGAGGCGUGACCCGCAGAAGAAGCACCGGCUAACUCCGUGCCAGCAGCCGCGGUAUAC